rnacentral:rRNA from 1 species
UACGUAGGCAGCAAGCGUUGUUCGGAGUUACUGGGCGUAAAGGGUGUGUAGGCGGUUGUUUAAGUUUGGUGUGAAAUCUCCCGGCUCAACUGGGAAGGUGCGCCGAAUACUGAAUGACUUCGAGUGCGGGAGAGGAAAGUGGAAUUCCUGGUGUAGCGGUGAAAUGCGUAGAUAUCAGGAGGAACACCGGUGGCGAAGGCGGCCAACUGGACAGAUACUGACGCUGAGACACGAAAGCGUGGGGAGCAAACAGG